UACGAAGGGGGCUAGCGUUGCUCGGAAUUACUGGGCGUAAAGGGCGCGUAGGCGGAUAGUUUAGUCAGAGGUGAAAGCCCAGGGCUCAACCUUGGAAUUGCCUUUGAUACUGGCUAUCUUGAGUUCGGGAGAGGUGAGUGGAAUGCCGAGUGUAGAGGUGAAAUUCGUAGAUAUCUCUAAGAACACCAGUUGCGAAGGCGGCUGGCUGGGUCCACAUUGACGCUGAGGCUCGAAAGCGUGGGGAGCAAACAGG
rnacentral:rRNA from 1 species